rnacentral:rRNA from 1 species
CCUACGUGGUGCAGCAGUGGGGAAUAUUGGGCAAUGGGCGCAAGCCUGACCCAGCAACGCCGCGUGAAGGAAGAAGGCUUUCGGGUUGUAAACUUCUUUUCUCAGGGACGAAGCAAGUGACGGUACCUGAGGAAUAAGCCACGGCUAACUACGUGCCAGCAGCCGCGGUAAUCCGUAGGUGGCAAGCGUUCUCCGGAUUUAGCGGGUGUAAAGGGCGUGUCGCCGGGAAAGCAAGGCAGAUGUGAAAACCAUGGGCUCAACCUGUGGACUGCAUUUGAAACUGUUUUUCUUGAGUACUGGAGAGGCAGACGGAAUUCCUAGUGUAGCGGUGAAAUGCGUAGAUAUUAGGAGGAACACCAGUGGCGAAGGCGGUCUGCUGGACAGCAACUGACGCUGAGGCGCGAAAGCGUGGGGAGCAAACAGGAUCAGAUACCCUGGUAGUC